GCGCCCGUAGCUCAGUUGGCAGAGCGGUGGAACGAUGAUCCACAUUCCACAGUCCCUGGUUCAAGUCCCGGCGGUCGCU